rnacentral:rRNA from 1 species
UACGGGGGGGGCAAGCGUUGUUCGGAAUUACUGGGCGUAAAGGGCUCGUAGGCGGCCAACUAAGUCAUACGUGAAAUCCCUCGGCUUAACCGGGGAACUGCGUCUGAUACUGGAUGGCUUGAGUUCGGGAGAGGGAUGCGGAAUUCCAGGUGUAGCGGUGAAAUGCGUAGAUAUCUGGAGGAACACCGGUGGCGAAGGCGGGUCUCUGGACAGUUCCUGACACUGAGGCACGAAGGCCAGGGGAGCAAACGGG